GUUUCUAGUUUCUUCAUCUUUACCACCGAAACUCAAAGAGUAGGGCCUCUGUCUCUGUGUGUGUGUGUGUGUGUCUCUCUCUCUCAAGCACGCACAAGAGGAAUGGCGUUAUGGAUGCAAGCGGGUUCGGAGCCCACCACCGAGUCCGAGAAAUCGGACCUUGAAGCUAUCUCUGCCCUCAAACAUUCUGCUGCCCUUGAACUCAAGGAAAAGGGUAACCAGUAUGUGAAGAUGGGGAAAAAGCAUUACGCUGAUGCUAUUGAUUGUUACACGAGGGCAAUUGAUCAGAAGGUGUUAAGCGACUCUGAACACUCGAUUCUCUUCUCGAAUAGAGCCCAUGUGAAUUUGCUGCUAGGAAAUUACAGACGUGCUCUCAUGGAUGCCGAGGAGGCAAUUAAGCUGUUCCCCGAAAACGUCAAGGCACUUUAUCGAGCUGCCAAAGCAUCUCUGUCAUUGAACUUGUUGGCUGAGGCGAAAUCAUUUUGCGAAAAUGGACUUGAACGUGACCCAAACAAUGAAGAACUAAAGAAGCUUGCAAAGCAAAUUGAUUUGCGGAGGUUGGAGCAUGAGCAGCGUGAGGCUCAAGUUUCCAGGGCUGUUGCUGAGGCUAAGGACCUUGUUUCUGCCAUUGAAGAUAGAGGCUUGAAGAUUGGCAAGGCAAUGUUUCGAGAACUUACUGGAUUAAGGAAGCCAGCAUUAGAUAAAAAUAAUAUUCUUCACUGGCCAGUUCUUCUUCUGUAUGCAGAGGUUAUGUCCAGCGACUUUAUCGAGGACUUCUGUGAGACCGACAUGUUUUCAGCUCAUCUUGACAUGAUGUUUUCAGAAAGUUGUCUACCAUUGCCAUGGGACAAAGAGAAAAAUUACAACCGUGAAUCUAUUGAGUUAUACUAUGAGGCUGGUUCUGGAGUUCGUCUAUCAAAGUUAAAACUUCUUCAUUAUCUCCUUGAGGGAACUGCAGCAUCUCAUGUAGAAAGUUUUGAUGGAGUAGAGAAAGAUGCAUCUGAGGAUUCUAAUCUUGGGAUCUCUGCAGAGGCUCUAAAUGGGUGAAAGUGAAUGAGAAAAGAACACUUCACGAAGUUCUAAAAGAACCAAACUUUAUUAUUCCAGGGAUCCCAGUCUUUUAUGUUGUUUCAAAAAGCUCCAGCUUCUAUAAAGAGUUCAAAGCUGGGAACUGGGCUCCUCCACCAUGAGUAAAUGCUCGAGGCAGUGAGUAACGUGGCGUGAAGGUAGGUAGGUAGGUGAUUUUGUAGAAGAGUCAAAGCAGGCAUUCUUCGUGAUACCUGGAGACUAGUUAUAUAUGUUGCUUAUUGCAGUAGAAUAUUGCUUUGUUCACCACCCGUUUUCAAGGAUAUGGCGUUCAUCAUCAAUGAAGACAAGGCUUUCUAAUCUUCGAAAUGUGCCAUAAAUUUAGGUACUUUCAAUAUUAUUAUAAUGCUUGUACCAGAGAUUUUGAGAAAAAUAAAGAAUUAUAUUGGGUCAA